rnacentral:rRNA from 1 species
GACGAACCGUGCGAACGUUAUUCGGAAUCACUGGGCUUAAAGCGCGUGUAGGCGGGACGGCACGUCGGUCGCUGAAAUCCCCCGGCUCAACCGGGGAACGGGCGCCGAUACGACCGUCCUGGAGGGACGUAGGGGGACCUGGAACUUCCGGUGGAGCGGUGAAAUGCGUUGAGAUCGGAAGGAACGCCCGUGGCGAAAGCGAGGUCCUGGACGUUUUCUGACGCUGAGACGCGAAAGCGUGGGGAGCGAACAGG